UACGUAGGGUGCAAGCGUUGUCCGGAAUUAUUGGGCGUAAAGAGCUCGUAGGCGGUCUGUCGCGUCUGCUGUGAAAACUCGGGGCUUAACCCCGGCCUGCAGUGGGUACGGGCAGACUAGAGUGCGGUAGGGGAGACUGGAAUUCCUGGUGUAGCGGUGAAAUGCGCAGAUAUCAGGAGGAACACCGGUGGCGAAGGCGGGUCUCUGGGACGUGACUGACGCUGAGACGCGAAAGCGUGGGGGAGCAAACAGG
rnacentral:rRNA from 1 species